GGGGAUGUAGCUCAGUGGGAGAGCACUUCCUUUGCAUGCAAGAGGCCCUGGAAUCCACCCCCAGCAUCUCCA
rnacentral:tRNA from 1 species